AGAGAGGGUGAAAGCCCCGUACACGAAAAUGAUAGCCAGCGAGCGGGAUCCAAAGUACCACGAGACACGUGGAACCUUGUGGGAAGUCGGGGGGACCACCCCCCAAGGCUAAAUACUCCUUAGUGACCGAUAGCGCAUAGUACUGUGAAGGAAAGGUGAAAAGGACCCCGGGAGGGGAGUGAAAGAGAACCUGAAACCCUGUGUUUACAAGCUGUGGGAGCACGUUAAGGUGCAACCGCGUACUUUUUGUAGAACGGUCCGGCGAGUUACUCCUGCUGGCAAGGUUAAGCACUGAAGGUGUGGAGCCGAAGGGAAACCAAGUCUGAAUAGGGCGUGAAGUCAGUAAGAGUAGACCCGAAACCGGGUGAUCUACCCAUGUCCAGGUUGAAGCGGAAGUAAAAUUCCGUGGAGGACCGAACGCACAUCCGUUGAAAAGGGUGGCGAUGAGGUGUGGGUAGGGGAGAAAUUCCAAUCGAACCCGGAGAUAGCUGGUUCUCCUCGAAAUAGCUUUAGGGCUAGCCUCGUAUUAGUCUGGCGGAGGUAGAGCACUGAAUUCUUAAGGGGGCGUCAAAGCUUACCAAGAGAUAUCAAACUCCGAAUGCCGCAAAGAUGAUGUACGGGAGUCAGACUACACGAGAUAAGUUGGGUAGUCAAAAGGGAAAGAGCCCAGACCUGCAGCUAAGGUCCCAAAGUGCGUGUUAAGUGGAAAAGGAUGUGGGAUUUCAAAGACAACUAGGAUGUUGGCUUAGAAGCAGCCACACAUUCAAAGAGUGCGUAAUAGCUCACUAGUCGAGAGGUCCUGCGCCGAAAAUGUCCGGGGCUAAAACACGACACCGAAGCUCAGGAAUGUCAUAUGACAUUGGUAGAGGAGCAUUCUUAAAGAGAGGAAGCAGUACCGGAAGGAGCUGUGGAUUUUUAAGAAGAGAGAAUGCCGGAAUGAGUAGCGAGAUGGAGGUGAGAAUCCUCCAGGCCGAAUAUCCAAGGUUUCCAGAGUAAAGCUGAUCUGCUCUGGGUAAGUCGGGGCCUAAGGCGAGGCUUAAGAGCGUAGCCGAUGGACAGCAGGUUUAGAUUCCUGCACCACAAGGUAUCAGAACUGUGGGGACGCAGAAGGACAGGAUAAGCCGGGAAUGAAAAGACCGGCGCAAGCGAGGUAGGAGUCAAGUAGGAAAAACCGCUUGGCAAUCCGAAGACGUGACGCGGAGCGAACAAAAGUAGCGAAGUAUCCGAUUCCAGCUGCCAAGAAAAGCCGCUAUAGUGUACCGUGUGCCCGUACCGUAAACCGACACAGGUGGAUGAGGAGAGAAUCCUAAGGCCGGCGGGAGAAGCAUUGUUAAGGAACUCGGCAAAAUGACCCUGUAACUUCGGGAGAAAGGGUGCCUGGGAAACCAGGCCGCAGAGAAUAGGCUCAAGCAACUGUUUAGCAAAAACACAGGUCUAUGCAAAACCGCAAGGUGAAGUAUAUGGGCUGACGCCUGCCCGGUGCUGGAAGGUUACGAGGAGAGGUUAGCGCAAGCGAAGCUUUGAAUCUAAGCCCCAGUAAACGGCGGCCGUAACUAUAACGGUCCUAAGGUAGCGAAAUUCCUUGUCGGGUAAGUUCCGACCCGCACGAAAGGCGUAAUGAUUUGAGCGCUGUCUCGACAAUGCACCCGGUGAAAUUGAAGUGCCAGUGAAGAUGCUGGCUACCCGCGCCAGGACGGAAAGACCCCAUGGAGCUUUACUCCAGCUUGAUACUGGGAUCCGGUGCUGUAUGUACAGGAUAGGUGGGAGACG
rnacentral:ncRNA from 1 species